rnacentral:rRNA from 1 species
CCCUUAGAUGUUCUGGGCCGCACGCGCGCUACACUGAUGGAUGCAACGAGCUCUACCCUUGACCGAAAGGCCCGGGUAAACUUGUGAAACUUCAUCGUGAUGGGGAUAGAUUAUUGCAAUUAUUAAUCUUCAACGAGGAAUUCCUAGUAAGCGCGAGUCAUCAGCUCGCGUUGAUUACGUCCCUGCCCUUUGUACACACCGCCCGUCGCUCCUACCGAUUGAAUGGUCCGGUGAAAUCUUCGGAUUGCUGACCAAGAUCCAGCAAUGGAGCUUGGUUGCGAGAAGUUGAUUAAACCUUAUUAUUUAGAGGAAGGAGAAGUCGUAACA